AUCGCUUCUCGGCCUUUUGGCUAAGAUCAAAGUGUAGUAUCUGUUCUCGGUAGUGUGACAACUACCGCGACCCCCAUUGGGGGUCCGAUUGUCACUGGAAUUUUUGCAACGCGGUGGGGCUCUGGGGCUCGCUCCAUCCUUGCCUGGGUUGGCUCGGUAUUGCAGUAUCUCCGGGAUCGGCCCGUCCCUU
rfam:Ramazzottius varieornatus DNA, contig: Scaffold010, strain: YOKOZTNA-1.